rnacentral:rRNA from 1 species
AGUCGAGCGAGCUUGCCUAGAUGAUUUUAGUGCUUGCACUAAAUGAAACUAGAUACAAGCGAGUGGCGGACGGGUGAGUAACACGUGGGUAACCUGCCCAAGAGACUGGGAUAACACCUGGAAACAGAUGCUAAUACCGGAUAACAACACUAGACGCAUGUCUAGAGUUUGAAAGAUGGUUCUGCUAUCACUCUUGGAUGGACCUGCGGUGCAUUAGCUAGUUGGUAAGGUAACGGCUUACCAAGGCAAUGAUGCAUAGCCGAGUUGAGAGACUGAUCGGCCACAUUGGGACUGAGACACGGCCCAAACUCCUACGGGAGGCAGCAGUAGGGAAUCUUCCACAAUGGACGAAAGUCUGAUGGAGCAACGCCGCGUGAGUGAAGAAGGGUUUCGGCUCGUAAAGCUCUGUUGGUAGUGAAGAAAGAUAGAGGUAGUAACUGGCCUUUAUUUGACGGUAAUUACUUAGAAAGUCACGGCUAACUACGUGCCAGCAGCCGCGGUAAUACGUAGGUGGCAAGCGUUGUCCGGAUUUAUUGGGCGUAAAGCGAGUGCAGGCGGUUCAAUAAGUCUGAUGUGAAAGCCUUCGGCUCAACCGGAGAAUUGCAUCAGAAACUGUUGAACUUGAGUGCAGAAGAGGAGAGUGGAACUCCAUGUGUAGCGGUGGAAUGCGUAGAUAUAUGGAAGAACACCAGUGGCGAAGGCGGCUCUCUGGUCUGCAACUGACGCUGAGGCUCGAAAGCAUGGGUAGCGAACAGGAUUAGAUACCCUGGUAGUCCAUGCCGUAAA